CAGACGUACCGGCGGAUAAUCAGCCUUUACGGGUGCGAUUCUGUGAGGCGUGAGGAGUUAAACGCCUUCAUGCCUGCAUAUUCGUGCUCUUGGGUGUACUUGCUCGUGUGGUUGGUUAACAUCAAUUUCGGACGCCAUAAAAUGGCUGGAGGAAUGUAGCUUCGAUCUCGUAUUGAAGUGUUAUAGCCUUCGGUAGAUGUGGUGAUCGAGAUUGAGGAUUGCAACGGAUACCCGUUCGGGCUACCAGUCUGGUCUCUGAUCGUU
rnacentral:rRNA from 1 species